rnacentral:rRNA from 1 species
CGCUGGCGGCGUGCUUAACGCAUGCAAGUCGAACGAGAACGGGUUAUAGCUUGCUAUAACUGUCAGCUAAGUGGCGCACGGGUGAGUAAUGUAUAGUUAACCUGCCCUCUAGAAAGGAAUAACAGUUGGAAACGACUGCUAAUGCCCUAUAUGCCUUUAAGACAUAAGUCUGCAAGGGAAACGCUUUAGUGCUAGAGGAUGGGACUGUAUGGUAUCAGCUAGUUGGUGAGGUAAAGGCUCACCAAGGCAAUGACGCCUAACUGGUUUGAGAGGAUGAUCAGUCACACUGGAACUGAGACACGGUCCAGACUCCUACGGGAGGCAGCAGUGGGGAAUAUUGCACAAUGGAGGAAACUCUGAUGCAGCAACGCCGCGUGGAGGAUGACACUUUUCGGAGCGUAAACUCCUUUUAUAUAGGAAGAUAAUGACGGUACUAUAUGAAUAAGCACCGGCUAACUCCGUGCCAGCAGCCGCGGUAAUACGGAGGGUGCAAGCGUUACUCGGAAUCACUGGGCGUAAAGAGCGUGUAGGCGGGUUAAUAAGUUUGAAGUGAAAUCCUAUGGCUCAACCAUA